rnacentral:rRNA from 1 species
GUCUUUUUGGUUUUAUAUAAAGUUUAACCUGCCCAUUGAAAUAAAUUAAAAGGCUGCAGUAUUUUGACUGUACAAAGGUAGCAUAAUCAUUAGUUUUUUAAUUGAAAACUUGUAUGAAUGGUUGGAUGAAAAAUUAACUUUUUUAAAAGAAAAAUUGAAUUUUACUUUUUAAUUAAAAGGUUAAAAUUUUUUUAAAAGACGAGAAGACCCUAUAGAGUUUAAUAAUUAAAUUUUUAUUAUUAAUAAAAAGUUUAUAUAAAUUUUUAAAAUUAAAAUUAUUUUAUUGGGGUGAUAAUAAAAUUUAAAAAACUUUUAUUAAUUAUUAACAUUUAUUUAUGAUUAAUUGAUCCAGAAAAUUUUGAUUAAAAAUUUAAAUUACCUUAGGGAUAACAGCGUAAUUUUUUUUUAAGUUCAUAUUAAUAAAAAAUUUUGCGACCUCGAUGUUGGAUUAAGAUUAAAUUUUAGGUGCAGAAGUUUAAAAUUUAAGUCUGUUCGACUUUUAAAUUCUU